GUGAUGUCCUCUACAGACAGGAAGUUCCUAGAGAGGGAAAGUUUGCAGGAAGAAGAGGAGGAUAUCCUUGCAAUCGGCAGUAUAGGAGGAUUGUAAAGUGGUGAAGAAAAUGUCUGGUGAUCCAUUAACACCCAGCAGCUGGGAGGAGUGGGGGUAUUAAGGAGGACACGAGGAUCUCUACAAGGACGUCAUGAUGGAGAAUCAGCCGCCCCUCACAUCACCAGAUGGAUCCAGUAAUGGGAA